GGCUCUGUGGUGCAAUGGAAAGUGUGUUGGCUUUCUAAGCUGUGGUGUUUAAGUGUGCACCAGGUCAAUCAUUCAAAGGUUGUUGGUUAAAAUCCCACCAGAGUCA
rfam:Pelodiscus sinensis unplaced genomic scaffold scaffold337, whole genome shotgun sequence.